UGGAGGAUUUCAUGGGCCAUCAAUUCAGUACCUGCAUUAAUGGGUACAGAUUACGGUUAUUUAAUACAUAAAAAUCAGAAUGAGUUUUUAUUUUUUCGGAGAGGUAAGAAACGCACAAUAUGGAUAACAUGUUGUCAUUAUCACCAGAUAGUAAAAGAAUAGGAGUAGAGCACCAGUUAGAGGUCAUUCUGUGGUAUUGUUAUGGAUUUUUUUUUUUUUGAGAUUGCCAUUUCUUGUGUUGCUUAUAUAUUCAAGAGUAGUAGUUCCAGUUUAGAGUUAAUAAUGAGAAGUCAAUCACAAGUAUCAAUUGAAGAUGUUCCAAUAUGGAUGAGU
rnacentral:lncRNA from 1 species